rnacentral:lncRNA from 1 species
CAGGAUCGACGGAGAAAGACCGCGAAGAGAGGAACGCUUCUAUGCGGUUAGAAUCGUCCGAUCCCCGGUCCAACCAUCCGAUGGCAUCUCAGGUCAAGAGGUCAGCCGGGUCACUUUGAUGAAGAACUCGAGAAACACCAGAACCUUCCUUCACACACUGGACACAUUCUCAACGGGUCGCUCAGUGAUGAGGACAGAUACAGAUCCUUCACUCCAGCGGACACCGACGGCAUUUCAGCUCAUACUCCUGCAAGCAUCCCAAAGCAGACUCAAAACAUCAGAGUAAGCCGAUCAAUGACAGAAGAAUGACACUAACAACAGACAGUGCUGGGAACGCUACGUAACAGGUUACUCUAUUUAAAAUGUAACAGUAGUGUAACUAUUUCAGUUACUGUAUUAAAGUAAUGUAAC